UAAUACGGAGGGUGCAAGCGUUGUCCGGAUUUAUUGGGUUUAAAGGGUGCGUAGGCGGUUCUUUAAGUCCGGGGUGAAAGCCCGUUGCUCAACAACGGAACUGCCCUGGAAACUGGCGAACUUGAGUACAGACGAGGGUGGCGGAAUGGAUGGUGUAGCGGUGAAAUGCAUAGAUACCAUCCAGAACCCCGAUUGCGAAGGCAGCUGCCUAGACUGUAACUGACGCUGAGGCACGAAAGCGUGGGGAGCGAACAGGAUUAGAUACCCUGGUAGUCCACGCCGUAAACGAUGGAUACUCGCUGCCGGCGAUACAAUGUCGGUGGCUUAGCGAAAGCGUUAAGUAUCCCACCUGGGGAGUACGCCCGCAAGGGUG
rnacentral:rRNA from 1 species